UAGGGAAUAUUGGUAAUGUGCGAAAGAGCGAACCAGCAACGCCGCGUGCACGAUGAGGCCUUCGGGUCGUAAAGUGCUUUUAGAGAGGAUGAGGAAGGACAGUACUUUCUGAAUAAGCCUCGGCUAACUACGUGCCAGCAGCCGCGGUAAAACGUAGGAGGCAAGCGUUAUCCGGAUUUACUGGGCGUAAAGCGCAUGCAGGUGGUUUUGUAAGUUGGAUGUGAAAGCUCCUGGCUUAACUGGGAGAGGUCGUUCAAAACUACAAGACUUGAGAUUGGUAGAGGAAAAUGGAAUUCCGGGUGUAGUGGUGAAAUGCGUAGAUAUCCGGAGGAACACCAGUGGCGAAAGCGGUUUUCUGGACCAAUGCUGACACUCAGAUGCGAAAGCUAAGGUAGCAAA
rnacentral:rRNA from 1 species